GCUGCUUACGGAAUAACGAGCUCUUCUGCCCUGCCUUCCCAACCCAGCCGCUGAGAGCCCCGGCAUAGAAAGAAGGGCCUUUGCCUCAGGUUCAGUCCUUGGGCUUGCCGACAGAAGGAUAAGGUAGCCUGCGAUGAGGAAGCCUCUGCUGUUGUUUUGUCCAUCAUCAUGUGCUCCAGAGGAAGAUACGUUUCACCUUCAUCAGGAAUAUGAAGCUGUUUAAGUCUUGAGAAGGGAGAAACCCAUUAUAAAAUGGCUGUGACACCGAUGAGCGCCCACCUGAGCUUUUUUCCGAGGAGAGCUUUGCCAAGGCUGUCAUUAGACUUUGGAGCACUCUGCUAAGGAAGGCCUGCCUCUCCUCCUUUCUGAUACAUUUGACCCCUCAGUCCUGAUUUUGAUUCCCAAGAUGUUUCAUUGCCCGACUAGGCAACAUCUUCAGUGCUCAAGAAGCGUUGCAGAAUAAACCAAUACUGUAAAUUAUUUUAAGACGACAACAACAACAGAAUAUCCUUUU